GCAAGUCGAACGGAAAGGCCCUUCGGGGUACUCGAGUGGCGAACGGGUGAGUAACACGUGGGUGAUCUGCCCUGCACUUUGGGAUAAGCCUGGGAAACUGGGUCUAAUACCGAAUAUGACCACAUGCUUCAUGGUGUGUGGUGGAAAGCUUUUGCGGUGUGGGAUGGGCCCGCGGCCUAUCAGCUUGUUGGUGGGGUAAUGGCCUACCAAGGCGACGACGGGUAGCCGGCCUGAGAGGGUGACCGGCCACACUGGGACUGAGAUACGGCCCAGACUCCUACGGGAGGCAGCAGUGGGGAAUAUUGCACAAUGGGCGCAAGCCUGAUGCAGCGACGCCGCGUGAGGGAUGACGGCCUUCGGGUUGUAAACCUCUUUCAAUAGGGACGAAGCGCAAGUGACGGUACCUAUAGAAGAAGGACCGGCCAACUACGUGCCAGCAGCCGCGGUAAUACGUAGGGUCCGAGCGUUGUCCGGAAUUACUGGGCGUAAAGAGCUCGUAGGUGGUUUGUCGCGUUGUUCGUGAAAACUCACAGCUUAACUGUGGGCGUGCGGGCGAUACGGGCAGACUAGAGUACUGCAGGGGAGACUGGAAUUCCUGGUGUAGCGGUGGAAUGCGCAGAUAUCAG
rnacentral:rRNA from 1 species